rnacentral:rRNA from 1 species
GUGAACGCUGGCGGUAGGCCUAACACAUGCACGUCGAACGGCAGCACAGUAAGAGCUUGCUCUUACGGGUGGCGAGUGGCGGACGGGUGAGGAAUACAUCGGAAUCUACUUUUUCGUGGGGGAUAACGUAGGGAAACUUACGCUAAUACCGCAUACGACCUACGGGUGAAAGCAGGGGAUCUUCGGACCUUGCGCGAUUGAAUGAGCCGAUGUCGGAUUAGCUAGUUGGCGGGGUAAAGGCCCACCAAGGCGACGAUCCGUAGCUGGUCUGAGAGGAUGAUCAGCCACACUGGAACUGAGACACGGUCCAGACUCCUACGGGAGGCAGCAGUGGGGAAUAUUGGACAAUGGGCGCAAGCCUGAUCCAGCCAUACCGCGUGGGUGAAGAAGGCCUUCGGGUUGUAAAGCCCUUUUGUUGGGAAAGAAAAGCAGCAGGUUAAUACCCCACUGUUCUGACGGUACCCAAAGAAUAAGCACCGGCUAACUUCGUG